rnacentral:rRNA from 1 species
UACGUAGGGGGCAAGCGUUGUCCGGAUUUAUUGGGCGUAAAGAGCGUGUAGGCGGUUAUGCAGGUCCGCUGUGAAAACUGGAGGCUUAACCUCCAGACGUCGGUGGAAACCGUAUGACUAGAGUCCGGAAGAGGAGAGUGGAAUUCCUGGUGUAGCGGUGAAAUGCGUAGAUAUCGGGAGGAACACCAGUGGCGAAGGCGACUUCCUGGCCUGUUCUUGACGCUGAGGCGCGAAAGCUAGGGGAGCAAACGGG